rnacentral:rRNA from 1 species
UUUAUGGAGAGUUUGAUCCUGGCUCAGGAUGAACGCUGGCGGCGUGCCUAAUACAUGCAAGUCGAGCGAACAGAUAAGGAGCUUGCUCCUUUGACGUUAGCGGCGGACGGGUGAGUAACACGUGGGUAACCUACCUAUAAGACUGGAAUAACUCCGGGAAACCGGGGCUAAUGCCGGAUAACAUGUUGAACCGCAUGGUUCUACAGUGAAAGACGGUCUUGCUGUCACUUAUAGAUGGACCCGCGCCGUAUUAGCUAGUUGGUGGGGUAACGGCCUACCAAGGCGACGAUACGUAGCCGACCUGAGAGGGUGAUCGGCCACACUGGAACUGAGACACGGUCCAGACUCCUACGGGAGGCAGCAGUAGGGAAUCUUCCGCAAUGGGCGAAAGCCUGACGGAGCAACGCCGCGUGAGUGAUGAAGGUCUUCGGAUCGUAAAGCUCUGUUGUUAGGGAAGAACAAAUGUGUAAGUAACUGUGC